rnacentral:rRNA from 1 species
AACGCGAAGAACCUUACCAGCCCUUGACAUCCCGGUCGCGGGAACGAGAGAUCGAUCCCUUCAGUUCGGCUGGACCGGAGACAGGUGCUGCAUGGCUGUCGUCAGCUCGUGUCGUGAGAUGUUGGGUUAAGUCCCGCAACGAGCGCAACCCUCGCCCUUAGUUGCCAUCAUUCAGUUGGGCCCUCUAAGGGGACUGCCGGUGAUAAGCCGCGAGGAAGGUGGGGAUGACGUCAAGUCCUCAUGGCCCUUACGGGCUGGGCUACACACGUGCUACAAUGGCGGUGACAGUGGGACGCAAUGGGGUAACCCUGCGCAAAUCUCAAAAAGCCGUCUCAGUUCGGAUUGUGCUCUGCAACUCGAGCACAUGAAGUUGGAAUCGCUAGUAAUCGCAGAUCAGCACGCUGCGGUGAAUACGUUCCCGGGCCUUGUA